GGUGGCUCAAUGGUAGAGUGCUUGCUUAACAUGCAUGAAGCCCUGGGUUCAAUUCCUCAGUACCA
rnacentral:tRNA from 1 species